rnacentral:miRNA from 1 species
UGUGAUCUGUACAUGUGUGGUGGGUGGGUGGAUAUGCAUGCAUGCAUACACAUACACAAACACAUACACUCAC